AGUGGGAACGAGUGAACCUGCCUCCUUACCUCAAACUCCUUGAUGUUAGACGUGAUGUAGAGUCCGAUACCAAUGGGGAUGAAGAUAAACCAGAUAACGAAGAAAGCUGGGAGAACUGUGCCCGCUGUCAGAAUGGGUUGCCAAAUUGUGGCUCUGCAGCUGUGAACUGUGUGGAAGCCUUUACAUUAGUAAAUGAAAGCCUACUCCAAAAUAUCAGUCUUGUCCCGUCGCUGCAACUCCCGUACGGACCUGGGAGAGGAAGGUCGAGAGCCAUGCGUCCUCCGAAACAUGACCCCGCCAAGCCGCACUGCUUCUUGACACUGCUCACUUAACCCGGAAACCAGCCGCACCAAUUUGUUGGCGGUAACACCGUACAGCUGGAGACAGAAGUCAGCAUGCAUGCGCCUGGCCGCCACAAGGAGUCGCAAGAGUCUGAUGGGACAAGGACAUCCCACCUGGCCAAAACCUCAUCUAACCCGGACGACGAGAUUUUAGAUUCUUCAAAGUAGCCACCCUUUUUCUUGAUGACAAACUACUAGAGUAGACACGUUGGCAAAUCAAAACUAAAAUAAACAAAGUAUUUUAAUUUGG